rfam:Felis catus isolate Cinnamon breed Abyssinian chromosome D2, whole genome shotgun sequence.
GCCUGGGUGGCUCAGUCGGUUGAGUGUCUGACUUCAGCUCAGGUCAUGAUCUCAUGGUUCGUGGGUUCGAGCCCCGCGUCGGGCU